UGUGUGGUCUCUUCUAUCACUCUCAAAGAGUUGCUAAAGUGCUGAGGUGGACCUCUUCUUUCAUCCCUUUCCUAUUUGGGAGUUCAUUUCUGCUGAUCUCAAGUUUUGAAGAGUAAGACUUGCCGAUGUACAACAAGAAGAACCUUUCAGGCAUAUUCGUUUGAAGUUGACUCCUACACUGUCGAAUACUCAAAUUUGAGUUACAAAGUUGGGCCAUGCGCAGCACAGCCUUCAUGUACAAGAGGUAAGGAUUUAGCUGCUACUGUACAGUGCAAAACUUUCUACUAGCAAAACCUGGUUUGUCUUUUGCCCAGUGCAUUAUGGCAUUGCAGAAAUCAAUCUCGGUGAAUACAGAAUGCAUGAAACAAAGAAGCUAUUGAUCCAAAGGCAAAAAGUCGAUUUCAUGUAAGCUUAGACACAGACAGCCAAAAUGAAGCACCAAGACGAGUAUUCGGCAUUCAUCUUUCUCAAGCCACCACAUGCAUGCAUCCUUGUUGGUAUU